rnacentral:rRNA from 1 species
UACAGAGGGGGCAAGCGUUGUUCGGAAUUACUGGGCGUAAAGGGCGCGUAGGCGGCCCUCUAAGUCAGACGUGAAAUCCCUCGGCUCAACCGGGGAACUGCGUCUGAGACUGGAAGGCUUGAAUUCGGGAGAGGGAUGCGGAAUUCCAGGUGUAGCGGUGAAAUGCGUAGAUAUCUGGAGGAACACCGGUGGCGAAGGCGGCAUCCUGGACCGAGAUUGACGCUGAUGCGCGAAAGCCAGGGGAGCAAACGGG